rnacentral:SRP_RNA from 1 species
CCCAGGCGCGGUGGGCGUACCUGUAGUCCCAGCUACUCGGGAGGCUGCGGCUGGAGGAUCGCUUGAGCCCAGGAGUUCUGGGCUGUAGUGCGCUAUGCCGAUCAGGUGUCCACACUAAGUUCGACAUCAAUAUGGUGACCUCUCGGGAUCGGGGGCCCACCAGGUUGCCUAAGGAGGGGUGAACCAGCCCAGGUUGGAAACGGAGGUCAAAACUCCUAUGCUGAUUAGUAGUGGGAUCGCGCCUGUGAAUAGCCACCGCACUCCAGCCUGGGCAACAUAGCAAGACCCCGUCUCA